rnacentral:rRNA from 1 species
GCGAACGCUGGCGGCAGGCCUAACACAUGCAAGUCGAGCGGGGGAGCAAUCCCUAGCGGCGGACGGGUUAGUAACGCGUGGGAAUAUACCCAAAGGUACGGAAUAGCCUCGGGAAACUGAGAGUAAUACCGUAUGUGCCCUACGGGGGAAAGAUUUAUCGCCUUUGGAUUAGCCCGCGUUGGAUUAGGUAGUUGGUGGGGUAAUGGCCUACCGAGCCUACGAUCCAUAGCUGGUUUGAGAGGAUGAUCAGCAACACUGGGACUGAGACACGGCCCAGACUCCUACGGGAGGCAGCAGUGGGGAAUCUUAGACAAUGGGGGAAACCCUGAUCUAGCCAUGCCGCGUGGACGAUGAAGGCCUUAGGGUUGUAAAGUCCUUUCAGAUGGGAAGAUAAUGACGGUACCAUCAGAAGAAGCCCCGGCUAACUCCGU